ACGAUCCGUAGCUGGUCUGAGAGGAUGAUCAGCCACAUCGGGACUGAGACACGGCCCGAACUCCUACGGGAGGCAGCAGUGGGGAAUAUUGGACAAUGGGGGAAACCCUGAUCCAGCCAUGCCGCGUGUGUGAAGAAGGCCCUCGGGUUGUAAAGCACUUUCAGCGAGGAAGAACGCCUAGCGGUUAAUACCCGCUAGGAAAGACAUCACUCGCAGAAGAAGCACCGGCUAACUCCGUGCCAGCAGCCGCGGUAAUACGGAGGGUGCAAGCGUUAAUCGGAAUUACUGGGCGUAAAGCGCGCGUAGGUGGCUUGAUAAGCCGGUUGUGAAAGCCCCGGGCUCAACCUGGGAACGGCAUCCGGAACUGUCAAGCUAGAGUGCAGGAGAGGAAGGUAGAAUUCCCGGUGUAGCGGUGAAAUGCGUAGAGAUCGGGAGGAAUACCAGUGGCGAAGGCGGCCUUCUGGACUGACACUGACACUGAGGUGCGAAAGCGUGGGUAGCAAACAGGAUUAGAUACCCUGGUAGUCCACGCCGUAAACGAUGUCGACCAGCCGUUGGGUGCCUAGCGCACUUUGUGGCGAAGUUAACGCGAUAAGUCGACCGCCUGGGGAGUACGGCCGCAAGGUUAAAACUCAAAUGAAUUGACGGGGGCCCGCACAAGCGGUGGAGCAUGUGGUUUAAUUCGAUGCAACGCGAAGAACCUUACCUACUCUUGACAUCCUGCGAAUUUGGUAGAGAUACCUUAGUGCCUUCGGGAACGCAGAGACAGGUGCUGCAUGGCUGUCGUCAGCUCGUGUUGUGAAAUGUUGGGUUAAGUCCCGUAACGAGCGCAACCCUUGUCCUUAUUUGCCAGCGCGUAAUGGCGGGAACUCUAAGGAGACUGCCGGUGACAAACCGGAGGAAGGUGGGGACGACGUCAAGUCAUCAUGGCCCUUACGAGUAGGGCUACACACGUGCUACAAUGGUCGGUACAAAGGGUUGCCAACUCGCGAGAGUGAGCCAAUCCCGAAAAGCCGAUCUCAGUCCGGAUCGGAGUCUGCAACUCGACUCCGUGAAGUCGGAAUCGCUAGUAAUCGUGGAUCAGAAUGCCACGGUGAAUACGUUCCCGGGCCUUGUACACACCGCCCGUCACACCAUGGGAGUGGACUGCACCAGAAGUGGUUAGCCUAACGCAAGAGGGCGAUCACCACGGUGUGGUUCAUGACUGGGGUGAAGUCGUAACAAGGUAGCCGUAGGGGAACCUGCGGCUGGAUCACCUCCUUAAAC
rnacentral:rRNA from 2 species